AUUGAACGCUGGCGGCAGGCCUAACACAUGCAAGUCGAGCGGAGAGGCGGAAGGGUGAGUAAUGCCUAGGAAUCUGCCUGGUAGUGGGGGAUAACGUCCGGAAAAGGGCGCUAAUCCCGCAUACUAUCAGGUGAGCCGAGGUCGGAUUAGCUAGUUGGUGGGGUAAAGGCCUACCAAGGCGACGAUCCAUAACUGGUCUGAGAGUCGGAUCAGUCACACUUGAACGGAGACACGGUCCAGCCUCCUACGGGAGGCAGCAGUGGGGAAUAUUUGACAAGGGGCGAAAGCCGGAUCCAGCCAUGCCGCGUGUGUGAAGAAGGUCUUCGGAUGGUAAAGCACUUUAAGUUGGGAGGCGUUACCAACAGAAUAAGCACCGGCUAACUUCGUGCCAGCAGCCGCGGUAAUAC
rnacentral:rRNA from 1 species